AUGGGGUAUGGCUGCAGGGGAGGGGACGCGGCCAACGACAUGAAGAAGGAGCAGGUCGUCGAGGACUACAAGCAGCAGGUUUCCUUUGACUGGAGGUCUGAAACUGAAGAUAGGGCAUAUUGUUUUGGUUCUGAGUGGCCGGAGAUAUUGUGGCUUGAUGUCCCUAGAGCAGUCGGACCCUUCCAAGAUAGGGUCGAACUGCGCUAUAUUUCUUUCAUUGAGGCGAGGGUGAUUCCAGUAGGUGAGGUGCAUUUUAGACAUCCGGAUGUCUUGCUAUGUUCAGGUGGUACCAUGUCUAAAUUAAGAUUUCCCUUGGCGUACUCGCCUUUUUUAUUGAAGUUGGGUGUCCGUCUUCUCUGCGGCAAGGUGAGCUUAUCCCAUUUACUUUGUUCAAUCCAGAGUCAAGAUUCAUAUCCCCUUCACUGUCAUUUCAUUUGUGAGAAUUUAUUCCAUUGA
rnacentral:rRNA from 1 species